UACGGAAGGCAGCAGUGGGGAAUAUUGCACAAUGGGCGAAAGCCUGAUGCAGCUAUGCCGCGUGUAUGAAGAAGGCCUUAGGGUUGUAAAGUACUUUCAUCGGGGAGGAAAAACAAAACUAAUAAUUUUAUUUCUUGACGUUACCCGAAAAAGAAGCACCGGCUAACUCCGUGCCAGCAGCCGCGGUAAUACGGAGGGUGCUAGCGUUAAUCAGAAUUACUGGGCGUAAAGAGCACGUAGGUGGUUUUUUUAAAGUCAGAUGUGAAAUCCCUGGGCUUAACCUAGGAACUGCAUUUUGAAACUGAAAUACUAGAGUAUCGUAGAGGGAGGUAGAAUUCUAGGUGUAGCGGUGAAAUGCGUAGAUAUCUGGAGGAAUACCUGUGGCGAAAAGCGGCCUCCUAAAACGAAAUACUGACACUGAGGUGCGAAAAGCGUGGGGAGCAAAACAGGGAUUAGAUACC
rnacentral:rRNA from 1 species